GAUGCCGCCACUCAUUGCACUGAGUCCCCGAGAGAGUCGCGAUGCGCGUUGUGUUCCUGCGCAUCGCGACACAAAGAAGACGACCGGCCUAUGCAAGCCCCCCAUGUGGGGCCUCUGUUCGGCCUAGGGGGACAAGAAACCCCAACAGUGUGGGCCUGCUUUGGGUGAGCAGGCAAGCGCGGACGGAAGUCACGGAAGACAUGUAAUAGGCCCUCGCGUCUCCUGGGUACAGCUGCGGCCACUUACCAUCUCUUCGGCCGUAGCAAGUCCCACAUACCCCGGUGGUCCUUCCCCAACGCUACC